rnacentral:lncRNA from 1 species
AGUACUCCUUUAACAAUUUGGGUUGUUCUUCAGCCAUCUCGACAGGUGGAGCAGAUCCUAUGGCUCUAUAGGUACGGAUUUCGACUCGAAGGGCCUUAAUAGAAUGCUCUAUUUCAGAAUCAAAAGGUACUAAUUCAGGAGAUCUGAAACGACACCCUAGCAUACACUAAUAACUUUUUGAUCAGUCAAGAGUCAAGCAUGCACUAAAAGAAAAACACAUCAAGUCCUUGUAUUUGCCCUAAAAUCACUAGACAGCUCCUAACUGGUUUGAAGAGGGCACCUAAGCCUCCAAUCCGGUCUAAUGAACUGAGUUGACCAGGUAAGCUCCCAAGUAAGUGGGGGGGUCACGAUGCGUUGCAAAGGUCCCACUUAAAAACCACUUGCCUCGAACAGAUGAACUGU